AGGGAUGUGGCUCAGUGAUAGAGUGCUUGCCUAGCAUGUAAGAGUCUCUGGGUUUGAUCCCCACUACCUGG
rnacentral:tRNA from 1 species